rnacentral:rRNA from 1 species
GAUGAACGCUAGCGGGAGGCUUAACACAUGCAAGUCGAGGGGUAUAGUUCUUCGGAACUAGAGACCGGCGCACGGGUGCGUAACGCGUAUGCAAUCUACCUUUUACAGGGGGAUAGCCCAGAGAAAUUUGGAUUAAUACCCCAUAGUAUGUUAGAGUGGCAUCAUUUUAACAUUAAAGUUCCAACGGUAAAAGAUGAGCAUGCGUCCCAUUAGCUAGAUGGUAAGGUAACGGCUUACCAUGGCGACGAUGGGUAGGGGUCCUGAGAGGGAGAUCCCCCACACUGGUACUGAGACACGGACCAGACUCCUACGGGAGGCAGCAGUGAGGAAUAUUGGACAAUGGGCGCAAGCCUGAUCCAGCCAUGCCGCGUGCAGGAAGACGGUCCUAUGGAUUGUAAACUGCUUUUGUACAGGAAGAAACACUCCCUCGUGAGGGAGCUUGACGGUACUGUAAGAAUAAGGAUCGGCUAACUCCGUGCCAGCAGCCGCCGUAAGAC